UGGCACCAAAUGCUAUGAUGCCCCCUCUAUGUAUUUAAUCCCUUUUGCUGAUGACCUUAAAUGAUCCAAUUCCAAUCCAUACUAAUAAGCAAAAAUUAUCUGGCCCUGCUGUUUCACUUGUAAUGUGACGUACCGUCUGAUAAAAGCCUUCAGAGGUUCUAAACCCUUUGCAAAGAGUCUUACCGCUGUCUGAAUGUUUUACUAGAGCCAAACACUAGAGGGCAGAAGAGUCAGUCAAAUGAGCUGAACCCGUCAGAACCACAGCCUUGAACGCGUGCAUGUCAACUUGUCAGCCGAAAUGCUGCUGUCAGAAGCGCUGAGGGACAUCUGGACGCCCCGCUGACUGAGUUUAUGUGUUCAGACCUCACCGUCACAAACAGCAGCUCUGUGGCGAUGUUUCUCAGCUGUUUUCAAACAAUCCUAACGGACGGAGCCCCAGCUGAAGGUCCCGAUGGAGAUGAGGGUCUGACAGGCUCCAGACGACAGCCACACCGUCUCCAUCAGACUGAAGUGAAGAAAGCCCAGGGCGAAGCCGCACGCC